UCGGCGGGGCGCCGUCCAAUGGGCGGUGCGAGGGGCGGUGCGGGGGCGUGUCCCGGUGUGUUUGGGUUCGUGCUCCUCGGGGGAGGGAGAGACGGCGGCGAGGAAAGUUUGGUUUUGGUUUUUUUUUUCCCCCCCCCGGUGGUGUUUUUUUGGCGGCGCCGGCGGAGCGGGGGGGGGUACGCUUUUCGCAGCUUCUUCGCCUUUUGCUUCCUGGGGUUCGUGUUUCCCGGGCGGGCGGAGCCGCCCCCGGCACUGAGAAGAACGGGGGCUCCGCGCACCGCGGCGGCGCCUCGGCGAUGGAACAUGAGGAUUUUGUAAUGGAGGGGCAUGGCAAGACUCCACCUCCUGGUGAAGAAAACAAACAGUGAGUCACACGUUUAUUUAAAAAGGGCCUUACCGUAGUAAAUGGUGUGAAGCACUCUCGUUUAAGCG
rnacentral:lncRNA from 1 species